rnacentral:rRNA from 1 species
GAUGAACGCUGGCGGCGUGCCUAAUACAUGCAAGUCGAGCGAACGGACGAGAAGCUUACUUCUCUGAUGUUAGCGGCGGACGGGUGAGUAACACGUGGAUAACCUACCUAUAAGACUGGGAUAACUUCGGGAAACCGGAGCUAAUACCGGAUAAUAUUUUGAACCGCAUGGUUCAAAAGUGAAAGACGGUCUUGCUGUCACUUAUAGAUGGAUCCGCGCUGCAUUAGCUAGUUGGUAAGGUAACGGCUUACCAAGGCAACGAUGCAUAGUCGACCUGAGAGGGUGAUCGGCCACACUGGAACUGAGACACGGUCCAGACUCCUACGGGAGGCAGCAGUAGGGAAUCUUCCGCAAUGGGCGAAAGCCUGACGGAGCAACGCCGCGUGAGUGAUGAAGGUCUUCGGAUCGUAAAACUCUGUUAUUAGGGAAGAACAUAUGUGUAAGUAACUGUGCACAUCUUGACGGUACCUAAUCAGAAAGCCACGGCUAACUACGUG